rnacentral:lncRNA from 1 species
AUCCCCAGUGCUCCUCCCUCACCUACUGUGCUUAGACUUAGGCAGUCAGUGGGAUCUUGGGGUGAGGGCUCCACUGGGACAGAGUACUUUGUUACCACAGCUAUGCAAAGCUUAGGGCUCUGACCACAACUGGCAAAAAGGCAACUGGAGGAAAGAAGUGGAAAAGAGGGAACCCUGAUCAGAGCCAUCAGCUACCACACCUGUAUUUUAGGCCUCGGUCUCUGGAAGUUUUGGCCUCAUGGCACAUUCAGCUCUUCAAAUCAGCUCAAAUGGCUUAAUCCAGUUUAUCUUUAGUGCAGAGAAGAAGCCUCUAAAGCAUCUAGAGGGCAGAAAAACUCAAACUUCAUAGAGCUAGCAAACAACCAGAAAAGCAAGUGUACAAAACAGACAUAAAGCCAAACUCAACAAGAUGCAGCCCUGGGGCUCUUCCUCUAGAUUCAACCUGAAAGGUAUGAAGAUAAAGUUUAAUUCUUGGGCAUAAGGGAAAAAUCCAACAAUCUUACCAUUGUUACUUCACUGAGACUCACUGUAGGAUGCUGCCUGACUGUGGGAUCCCAGGGUAAAGGCUGCAACUGCAACAGAGUAUGUUGGUACCAACAUAGGAAGCUCAGGGCUCUGACCAGACAGCUGUCAGGGAGGAGGCUGGCAGAGAGGAGGACUGAAGAUUCUUCUUAUCUAUCUGCAUGUACUCAGCUUGAAACUUCCCAGGUGUAAUUUACUUCCUAGGAAUAAGGAAUUAACACAAGAUGGACCAGAUCUACACAACAUUCUUCCUAAUUCAUGUUGUCUGGUACAUAACUAUCCCUCUUCCAUUUGCCUUCAAUCAGCUCAGUCAAACAUGACAAAGGACUCUUGGAGCUCUGAGGAAGAAUCAAAGUCUGCUUGA